rnacentral:lncRNA from 1 species
CUGAUACAAUUGCCAAAGCCACAUGCUUGGUAAUGCUUCAUUUGUCCCCUUCCCCUCUCGAUGAAUUUGUAGUUUCUUCUUAGGCUCCGUUCGUUUCGCGGAAAAUAACUUCCAGGAAAAUAUUUUCCGGAUUUUCCGGUGUUCGGGUGAGCGGAAAAUCACGGUCAACGGAAAACAUUUUCCGUUGACCGGAAAAUUCCUUCUUUGCAGCUUGGAAAAUGUUUUCCUCUUUUGAAAAGAGGAAAACAUUUUCCAAGCCUCGCCUCUUCUCUUCCUUCGGUUCUUGUUCUCUCUCUCUUGCUCUCCUUGCUGCGAAGUUGGCUUUGACGACGUCCUUCUCCGAGACUAGCCUCCGCCCUCCCUGGCCGCUCCUGCCCGCCUGCUCCGGCCGGGGCGCCGCCGCCACCGCCGCGCUCCGCUUCCCCGGCGGCUUGAAGCCGCUCGGGAGGAUCCGGCUCAAGAGGGAGCUCCGCGGCGGCGCCGAGAGGCUCGCGGGGAGAUCUGUCACCAGAUCCGGCGAGCUCGGGUGAGAUCGGCCGAGCCUCGAGCUCGCCGGAUCUGGUAGCGGAGCUCGCGGCUCGCCGGAUCUGGCAGCGGAGCUCGCGGCUCGCCGGAUCUGGCAGCGGAGCUCGCGGCUUGCCGGAUUCAGGCGAGCUCGAGCUCUGUCGCCAGAUCCGGUGAGCUCGGGUGAGAUCGGCCGAGCCUCGAGCUCACCAGAGUGGCCACCGGGUCUUGGUCGGCCGCUGGGCAGCCGGCCAUCGUCAGGCAGGAAGGAGGCGGCGGCAGCGGCGGAACGAGGAGGAAGAAGGAGGAGGAAGGAGGCGACGGCGGACGAAGCCGCUCGGGAGGAAUCGGGAGGAAGAAGGAGGAGGAAGGAGGAAGGAAAAAAAAUAAUAAUAAAAAUUUCUAUUUUAAAAAUAUAAAUAAUUAAAAAAUCAUUUUUUUAAAAAAAUAUAAAUAAAUAAAAUAAUUUUUUUGGUCAAUUAAAAAUAUUAAAAUUCAAUUUUUGAUAAUUUUUUUUCAGGAAAAUGUUUGAGCUAACGAACAGUGGAAAAUAUUUUCCACUCAAAUUUUAGAUUUUGACCGAACAUCGGAAAAUAGAGUUCCUGGAAAAUAACUUCCAGGAAAAUGUUUUCCGGAAAUAUGAUAUUUUCCGUGAAACGAACGGAGCCUUAAAUGCUGAUCAUGGCCCCAAACUAUAUACAUGCGCGUCUUUCGCAUUAGAAAAUUAGCUGCGCUCUUCCUUGAUCUUAAUCAUCUUUUUUCCUAGUCCGUGUAAUAUAAUAGAUAAAGUACAUGAAAAUAGAACUCAAACACAUCAUGUCAAUGUAUCUUUCUAUGCGUAAUAGAUGUCAAAUCACAAUUGAAAAUAGUGUCACUUUUCCAAUCAAGGCACUUCAAUAAUGAAAGGGAGGACCAUUAGCCAAGUGGAUACAAGGCACUUCAAUAAUGAAAGGGAGGACCAUUAGCCAAGUGGAUACAUAUCACAUCAGAAAUAUCUUCACAAGAAAUGCAUUGACUAAUAUGACUC